UUGACCUCAAAUCAGGUAGGACUACCCGCUGAACUUAAGCAUAUCAAUAAGCGGAGGAAAAGAAACUAACAAGGAUUCCCCUAGUAACUGCGAGUGAAGCGGGAAAAGCUCAAAUUUAAAAUCUGGCGGCUUGCCGUCCGAGUU
rnacentral:rRNA from 1 species